CCUACGGGUGGCAGCAGUGGGGGAUAUUGGGCAAUGGGCGCAAGCCUGACGCAGCGACGCCGCGUGGGUGAAGAAGCCCUUCGGGUUGUAAACUUCUUUUGACAGGGAAGAGUAGAAGACGGUACCUGUCGAAUAAGCCACGGCUAACUACGUGCCAGCAGCCGCGGGAAUACGUAGGUGGCAAGCGUUGUCCGGAUUUACUGGGUGUAAAGGGCGUGUAGCCGGGUUGAAAAGUCAGAUGUGAAAUCCUGCGGCUUAACCGCAGAACUGCAUUUGACACUGUGGAUCUGGAGGACUGGAGGGGCAGACGGAAUUCCUGGUGUAGCGGUGAAAUGCGUAGAUAUGAGGAGGAACACCAGUGGCGAAGGCGGUCUGCUGGACAGCAACUGACGGUGAGGCGCGAAAGCGUGGGGAGCAAACAGGAUUAGAUACCCGAGUAGUC
rnacentral:rRNA from 1 species